rnacentral:lncRNA from 1 species
UUUUUUUUUAAUUUUGAGACAGGGUCUCAUUAAAUUGUUGAGGCUGGCCUCAAACUAGGAAUCCUCCUACUUCAGCCUCCCAAGCUACUGGGAUUACAAACUUGUGCCACCACACUGGGUGGCAGUUGCUUUUUAAGAUAGUUUGAUACAGCUUUAAAAAUCAUCCUAAGGACACUUUAUUUUUGUAUAUGCGUGUGUGUGUGUGUGUGUGUGUAAAACAAUUAAUUACAAUGUAAUGAAUAUUUGCCACUUUUAAUUAGGCAGUGUUUAAAAUCUGUGAUUUCUAGAAUAGAGAGGAAAAUUGCUGACAUUAGGCUGUCAGUGGUUUCAACAGCAACAUUAACAAAAACUUCAUUCCUUAAUUAAUUGCUAUUUUAAACUGCAGAUAAGAACCAGUUCUCCCUAUAAUGGUGUGUCCAUGGAAUUUAAAUUAUGUCCCAGCUUUCUUCAUCAUAGUAGAAAUUAUGACAUAUAUAUUUCUUAUUUGUAUGCUUAAUUCUAAAAGCAAAUAUUUUUAGUUAAUCUUUUGAGAGGAGGGUUUCCUAGUAUCUUGGGAAACUGGAGACAUGAAGAUAUUCUCUUCUUGUUUGUUUUAUUUAUUAUUUUUAGAGACAUGAAGUUCAGGGGGAAUACUUGUGUAUUAACUCUGCUUUUUCCCAGGUUGAGAACAGCCUUAUUGAUACCCAGUUUGUUUCUAAAACUGUAAGAUCCUAGUGGUUGUAAAGAUUCAUUGUAAUUAAAGCAGAUGGAUUGUAAGUAUGAUUCUUCCAGAAUGGUGAUGUCAAAUUGAGCAUAGAGGGAUAGUGACUUUCUUGCAAUUAAUAUGUGCAAAGUUCAGUGUCACUGAUAUUCCCUAUGGAGGGCGAAGUUGCACACUGUCCUGCUAUAUCCAUCCCUGCUCUGUGAGGUCACCUUAUUCCCAGUAAGUUGUCCUUGUUGGCUAGGAGUCUAUAAUGGUGUGUGUGUGUAGUCUCUUUAUACUCCCUCAUCGAUGCCUUCUACCAGUCUGCAAAACUAACCUACAAAGCUAUACCUCUAUAAAGCACAUGGAAAGAAAAGAAAUAAUUGUUACCGAUGUUAUUAUUUGCCAUCGUAUGUACACAAAAAAUUAUUAUCAUAGUCAACAACAGUUGUACCCUUGUGUUCUAGACCCUGUCUUAGGUACUGGCAAUUCAAAGAACAUAGAGUUUGUGUUUUCAAUGUGCUUGCUAUUUAUUUGGGGUAAUAGGAUAUUUAGUCAUCUCCUUUAAGAAUUUGUCCAAAUGUCUAAUGGCCACCUGGGCCACCCCAUUUAACAUUUCAGCUUUCAAUACCCACAACAUUUCUAGUCCCCUAACCCAUCUUUGUUUUUCCCAUUACAUUCAUUUCUUAAUGUACUGUGUAAUUUGUCUAUGUUUAUUUUUCUUUCUUCCUGCUUUAGAUUGUAAACAAAUGGAUUUUUGUUCAUUUCUUUCACUGCUAAUCCCUAAUGCCAAGAAUAAUGCCUGGAACAUAAUUGGUGUUCAAUAAAUAUUUUUUAAAUGGAUAUAUGAUUACUUGAACAUUCAGAAUCAUGACAAAAAGAAUAUUAUAUCAUGGGCAGUGCAGAGUUUUCAGGAUGAAAUGGUAGGGGAAAAAAUGUAUUGUUGGCAAUAACUCCAGAGAAGUUCAGAUAUCAAUGAAAGCAACAGAGGUUUGUUUUGGAGUGUAUUGUUAUCGUAGUGAGAA